rnacentral:rRNA from 1 species
UACGAAGGGGGCUAGCGUUGUUCGGAAUUACUGGGCGUAAAGCGUGCGCAGGCGGCUUCUCAAGUCAGGGGUGAAAGCCCAGAGCUUAACUCUGGAAUUGCCUUUGAGACUGAGAGGCUUGAGUACGGGAGAGGUGAGUGGAAUUCCCAGUGUAGAGGUGAAAUUCGUAGAUAUUAGGAAGAACACCAGUGGCGAAGGCGGCUCACUGGCUCGGUACUGACGCUGAGGCGCGAAAGCGUGGGGAGCAAACAGG